CCAGGUGAGCCUCUGCCCUUGGGAGGGCCGGGACCCCCGGCCCCCCAGAACCUGCAGCACCCUUCCCCCCACCCCCCGCCAUGGAUCUCUAGAGGAGGAGGAGGACAAGGACGAGAAGACAGCUCUGCCGCCCACCCCCAUCCCAUUUUCCUCUUCCUUUAUCUCAUUGUUGCCGUCGCUGUUUACGGCAGCGCUCCCUCUGCCCCAGCAUGGGGCGGGCUCUGGGUACUGCCAUUCGGCAGGCGCUGCUCCCGCGGCUGCCCGGCGAUUCUGCCUAAUUCUCCCUCCGCAGCCGGUGCAGCGAGGACCGGAGAGCGGUGGAGGCCCGGACUGCAGCAGCGGCGGGGCCAGCUCCCAGCAUCUCCACCCUAGGAGGCUGCAUGCGGAUUGAAGAACGGUGCCUGGGGGUGGGCCGGCCCCGCUGAUCCCGACCUAGGGCGGACAGCAGGACUAACGAGGCUGCGGAGUGGGUCCGGGGGUGGGGGGUGUGCAGGAAGGACAGAGCAGCAAGAUGGCCAGUAAAACCAAGGCCAGCGAGGCCCUGAAGGUGGUGGCCCGGUGCCGCCCCCUCAGCCGGAAGGAGGAGGCUGCUGGUCACGAGCAGAUCUUGACCAUGGACGUGAAACUAGGCCAGGUGACCCUGCGGAACCCCCGCGCUGCCCUGGGGGAGCUGCCCAAGACCUUCACCUUCGAUGCCGUGUAUGAUGCCAGCUCCAAGCAGGCAGACUUGUAUGAUGAAACCGUGAGGCCCCUGGUAGACUCGGUGCUUCAAGGUUUCAACGGCACCGUCUUUGCCUAUGGACAGACAGGCACAGGCAAGACCUACACCAUGCAGGGGACCUGGGUGGAGCCCGAGCAACGCGGGGUCAUCCCCAAUGCCUUUGAGCAUAUCUUCACCCACAUCUCGCGCUCCCAGAACCAGCAGUACUUGGUCCGGGCCUCCUACCUGGAGAUCUACCAGGAGGAGAUUCGAGACCUGCUCUCCAAGGAGCCCGGCAAGAGGCUCGAGCUGAAGGAGAACCCUGAGACAGGCGUCUACAUCAAGGACCUGUCCUCCUUCGUCACCAAGAAUGUCAAGGAGAUAGAGCACGUGAUGAACCUGGGGAACCAGACCCGGGCAGUGGGCAGCACACACAUGAAUGAGGUCAGCUCCCGCUCCCAUGCCAUCUUCGUCAUCACCGUGGAGUGCAGUGAGCGUGGCUCAGACGGCCAGGACCACAUCCGUGUGGGCAAGCUCAACCUGGUGGACUUGGCUGGUAGCGAGAGGCAGAACAAAGCAGGCCCCAACACCACUGGAGGGACCGCCACACAGCCCACUGGUGGUGGCGGUGGUGGAGGGGGUGGUGGCGGUGGUGGAGAGAGGCCGAAGGAAGCCUCCAAAAUCAACCUGUCACUGUCCGCCCUGGGCAACGUGAUCGCUGCUCUCUCGGGUAACAGGAGCACCCACAUCCCCUACCGGGACUCCAAGCUGACCCGGUUGCUCCAGGACUCUCUGGGGGGAAAUGCCAAGACCAUCAUGGUGGCCACCCUGGGGCCAGCCUCUCACAGCUACGACGAGAGCCUCUCCACCCUGCGCUUCGCCAACCGGGCCAAGAACAUCAAGAACAAGCCCCGGGUGAAUGAGGACCCCAAGGACACACUUCUGCGGGAAUUCCAGGAGGAGAUCGCCCGCCUGAAGGCCCAGCUGGAGAAGAAGGGGAUGCUGGGAAAGCGACUCCGCAGGAAGAGCAGCCGCAGGAAGAAGGCCGUGUCAGCCCCAGCCGGGUACCCGGAGGGACCGGUGAUCGAGGCCUGGGUAGCCGAAGAGGAGGAUGACAACAACAACAAUCACCGCCCGCCCCAGCCCAUCCUGGAGACGGCCUUGGACAAGAACAUGGAGAAUUACCUGCAGGAGCAGAAGGAGCGGCUAGAGGAAGAGAAGGCGGCCAUUCAGGACGACCGCAGUCUGGUGAGCGAGGAGAAGCAGAAGUUGCUGGAGGAGAAGGAGAAGAUGCUGGAAGACCUGCGGCGGGAGCAGGAAGCCACAGAGCUGCUCGCUGCCAAGUACAAGGCCAUGGAGAGCAAGCUGCUCAUCGGGGGCAGGAACAUCAUGGAUCACACCAACGAGCAGCAGAAGAUGCUCGAACUAAAGAGGCAGGAGAUUGCCGAGCAGAAACGCCGUGAGCGGGAAAUGCAGCAAGAGAUGAUGCUCCGGGAUGAGGAAACCAUGGAGCUCCGGGGCACCUACACGUCCCUGCAGCAAGAGGUGGAGGUCAAAACCAAGAAACUCAAGAAGCUCUACGCCAAGCUGCAGGCGGUGAAGGCGGAGAUCCAGGACCAGCACGACGAGUACAUCCGCGUGCGGCAGGACCUGGAGGAGGCGCAGAAUGAGCAGACCCGGGAACUCAAGCUCAAGUACCUGAUCAUCGAGAACUUCAUCCCCCCAGAGGAGAAGAACAAGAUCAUGAACCGGCUUUUCCUAGACUGCGAGGAGGAGCAGUGGAAGUUCCAGCCCCUUGUUCCUAGUGGAGCCAAUAGCAGCCAAAUGAAGAAGCGGCCAACAUCUGCGGUGGGCUACAAGAGGCCGAUCAGCCAGUAUGCUCGGGUUGCCAUGGCAAUGGGGUCCCACCCCAGGUACAGGGCUGAGAACAUCAUGUUUCUGGAGUUGGAUGUGUCUCCGCCAGCGGUCUUUGAGAUGGAAUUCUCUCAUGACCAAGACCAAGACCCCCGUGCACUACACAUGGAGAGGCUCAUGCGGUUGGACAGCUUUCUGGAAAGACCUUCCACCUCUAAAGUCCGGAAGUCCAGAUCCUGGUGCCAGAGUCCUCAGCGGCCUCCACCUCCCACCGCACACGCCUCGCUGGCCGCCUCUGCUGCUCUGCGCCCCACGACAGUGCUCGACCACGAGUGACAACCUUCCGUCGGGCUUGCCCCGUCCCCCCCGCCCAGACCCCCAGGGACGGGGUGGCCAACCCUGGCUCAUCUCGCUGCCGCUCGGUGUGCGUGCGUGCGUGUGCGUGUGUGGGCGCAUGUGCGUGUGCGUAUGUUGGGGGGGGGACCCCGGCAGGCGUGCCUCUGCCGGCUCUUAGCCUCCUUUAUUUAAUUAAUGUUAUUUAUUCGUGGAACUCAAUUCGUGUGGGAAAGGAGCCCUCGCCUGACCCUGCCGUGCUCACCGCCCAGCCACCUCCUCCUCUUGACUUUAGAUCCCACCCCGCUGCCCCAGUCAGACCUCAUUCUCCUUCUGGUCAGUUGUGCCCAGAAGGGAAGACGCAGGUGCCUGUGUGUAUUUUUUUCUACCUGGCUUGUCCCGGAAUCGCCCAUCUCCUCCUGUGCCGCUGAUGAGCAGCUGCUGAGCGCUCUCUGGGACUAGAGAAAUACAAGAUGUGUGCUGAGGACAGAAGACAUCCAUCCUGCUUAUGGACUCCAGUGACCCCAUCCGCACAGCCCAUGCUUUGCAGCUUUGGCAAGAACUCAUGGUUUCCCGAACUGCUUCCUGCCCACCUUCCCAACUCGGGGAAGGGAACUGUGAACUGACCAGUCGCUGCCUCCUCGGGACUUCCGGGACAUGGAACAGUAAUGGAGACGGUGUGGACAGUCAUCAAGGGACCGUCCAUUUGUUUCCGUUCCCUCUGAGAAGUCACUUUGGCCGACAAGGAAUCAGGCCAACUCUCCAUCUUUGAGAUGCUGCUUCUUCCAGCCCUCAUCAUUUCCUGCAGCUGCCUGUAUCCCCACUACUAGUGGGAGGAUCAGUGUCCUCCCUCUGGCUAAACAAAGGUACCGGAAUCUGAUGCUUCUCCCCGCUCAUGGAGCACAGGAGAUGGAGACCCAGGCACAACCCACCAACUCUGCCCAUUGCCCCUGUCUCUGAAUCACAUUUGUUGGGCACUGUUUUGUUGACAAGACUGACCCUUCAGCAUUGUGCAAAUUGGUCCCUAAGGAAAUCCUCUCACUUCCCUUUGUGACAUCCCAAGAUGUCUCCGGGUAUCUCGGGUAAAUUUCUACCAAAAAGAAAGAUUAAUUUUCAUUGACUUAGCUUUUAAGUGUAUAUUUUGGUGGAAGAGUGAAGAGGUAGUCAUGAAUGAAAACACAUAGUUUGGGACUGCAAAACGACCUAACAUGGAGUCUCCAGUUACUAGAAUAUGAGGAGUUUAGUCACUGGGGAAAGGCAUGAAGCUGACAGGGCUGCCUGAAAUUUGGUGUGUGGGAGGUGGCGGUGGGGAGUGGCUACCUGGUUAUUCUCUUUCCAUCAGGAAAUGAACCCUUCUUGCACACAGCUCACUUUCUGCCCUGAGGACCAAGCUGUGGUUUGGUUCACUUCAGUGAUGCUGUCAUUGCUGCUGUAACUAUGACGCCAGGUGGUUGGGCCAUUCAUUUUCCACGGACUCCUGUCCUUCAGGGAAACAACAGUUUUCAUCAGAGCCCAGAAGAUGGUUUGAGACUCGGGAUUCAGAUCGGAGAUUUGGCUGUGGCUAGGACAGGAGUGGCGUGUAGAAAUUUCCCAGGUGGCCUGGGCACAGAGGGACCUCCAGGCCUGUGGUAAGCAGCCUCUCCCACUGACCUCUUUCUUGUUUGUGGAUGAAGCUUCACGUCUUACCCUCAUUCAUCACUUGGACACACCGACUCUGCAUUGUCUGCUCACUUGACCCUCACAGUCUUAUAGCACAAUGUACCCAACUUCCCCACCCCCAGUCGGAGGGCUGGGCCCAAGGUGUGGUCAGAGGAGGAGCUCCUGCCUGCAGUUUUGUGUAUGUGUGUGUGUGUGCGUGUGUUUGUGUGUGUGUGCGUUUACCUCCACAGGGGACACUUUACACUCCGUGUAAGAUAUGCUGGGAACAGGGCCACCGGGGUGGCUGGAUCUCAGUCUCUCCGUCUCUUUCUCUUCUUUUCCUUUUGAUGUAUCCAACACUUGGUUGACAAAGUAAGGGCCUUGAUUAGGACCAAAUUUCCAUGUCUGUUGCUAUGGUCUUUAUUUAGGACAGCGAUUAACAAUGCAGUGGCCCGUUCUUUUCACUCUAUACAGUUGACGAUACAGGACAUAUGUAAUAUAUAAAUAUAUAUAUAAAACAUUACCCUCUGUCUCCUUGGCUUAGGAUGAGAUCUCUCUGUCAAGCUGAAAUGCACCUGCAGCUCAAUGCUGCCAGCAGCCUGCAGGCCCCAGCCCUGUUCAAAUUAACACAGUCGAUAAUAAAGGAAUGAGUAUCGUUACAAA